rnacentral:lncRNA from 1 species
AAAAAUUACAAAAGACAAAAAUAUUUAUUGUGGUUGUGGUGGAAGUUGCAAUGGCGGGUCCAUUUGACCCAACGUAUAUAAAAAAAUUACUCUUUCGCUACCUUAGUGUUAUUUGGUAGUGUAGAAAAUAGAAUGACAAUAAAUGUAAGGAUGCAGAACCGAGGCGAGAAUAAAUUCUCUCUCCGUAAGGCAAAAUUACUUCCGCUCUGUGCUCGUGGAUCUACAGUAAUUGCCCCCAAGAUACAACGGUUUCGGGAUGAUAGACAAGUCUUUAGCACUAGGAGUUCGCUAUCCGGUCGAACGGCUUGAUACUCGGGACUGAGUAUGUAAACUAAACUAAUAUGAAAAAUUGAUUAUCUAAAUUCGUUGGUGUGUUUAAUCUCAUUCUGGAGGGCCCUAUUUAUAGUAGUCCAGGGGUUUCCUUGAACUGACGUGACUGUUUGGCCAAACAGGAGGUCCGAACAGGCGUGUCUCUUCGGUCUUGAACCGUCGCCACGUGCCCUGUUUGGACAAACAGAUCCGAACCAACGUGUCUCUUCGGUCCUCAACCGCUGCCACGUCGGUUUGGGCAAACAGGUGGUCCGAACCGUCGUGUCUCUUCGGUCCUUAACCGUCACCACGUGUAUUGUUUGGGCAAACAGGUGGUCCGAACCAUGGAUAUCUUUGGGCAUUAAUUACUCAUUCAAUUCUCUACAGAUUUGAACAAGUAAAUAUACCAAAUUAAUCUACUCAACAUGUAGAUUCCAAAAAUAUCAUUUAAUUCCAUUAAUUACCAAAGUAAUUAUGGCAUUAAAUAAGCUAUAUAAUCCAACAAUCCCCCACAUGAAUGAUGAUUAAUGCAAAUGCAAAAACUAAGUCCCGACGACCUAUUAUUGCAUCAGGAUAGGUAGUUGUUAGCUUUGAACCUUCCUUAGUGUAAUGCCAUCGGAUUUACUCGUUGCUCGGUGAACGCGAUGUCUUGAACCGGUCAACUUUUGUGUAAACCAAGUCAACAACAUACACACAAUAAUAGAUCUGAUAUCUUUCGUUCUUACGUUGUGUCCAUUUCUGGCCUUGGACCUUUUCUUGGAUUCACAAGUGUUAUCGAUAAUUUGAAGCGGCCCCACUUCUUCACUUGUAUAGGUGAUCUCCUAUAAAGAGUAUCCUGCCAUACUCCACCUAAUAAAGCUAUAGGAAUCAUUAAAAGCUUUUGACGGCUUACCCUUUACCACAAGCUGCAGGCUUUGCACUUGAGCAGCUAUGAGAAUGGAUUUUGAAAGUUUCAAGUGCUCAACUUGAACUUCCAUAAUUUAGUUGUCUCAUUGAACCAUGUUCUUGGGAUCUCCAGUCAUCAUGGUUGAGUUACCACUAUGAAAGUUCUUAACGUGUGGAUUUUAAUCCCAUUCCCCUUAUUGCGUUAUACAAUUGAUCACGAUUAAUACCUUUAGUAACGGAUCCGCAAUAUUGUCUUUUGACUUUACAUAGUCAAUUGCACAUUAUUCCUGUAGUGAUCAAUUGUCUAACGGUAUUAUGUCUUUCGACGAAUAUGUCGAGAUUUACCGUUAUACAAACUAUUCUUUGCUCUCCCUAUGGCAGCCAUGCUAUCGCAAUGUAUCAUAACAGGAGGCAAAGGUUUUUCCCAACAGGGAAUAUCUUCUAAGAAGUUUCUUAACCAUUCGGCUUCUUCGCCGGCUUUGUCUAAAGCAAUAAAUUCCGAUUCCAUUGUAGAUCGGGCUAUACAUGUUUGCUUAGAAGACUUCCAUGAUAUUGCUCCUCCACCAAUGGUAAAUACAAACCCACUUGUAGAUUUAAAGUCUUUAGUGUCGGAUAUCCAAUUGGCAUCACAAUACCCUUCCAAAACUGCGGGAUAUCUCGAAUAGUGUAUACUAUGAGAUAUUGUGUGUUUUAAGUAUCUCAACACUCUUAUCAAUGCGGUCCAAUGAUCCUUUCCAGGAUUACUUGUAAACCGACUCAAUUUGCUAAUAGAAUAUGCUAUGUCCGGCCUUGUACAAUUUGAUAAGUACAUUAGGCUUCCAAUAAUUNGGUGGAAGUUGCAAUGGCGGGUCCAUUUGACCCAACGUAUAUAAAAAAAUUACUCUUUCGCUACCUUAGUCGCCCACUCUCUCUCUCUCCUUCCCCUCUUUCUCUCUCUUCCUCUUGUUGUGGUUGUGGUGGAAGUUGCAAUGGCGGCUAAGCUCAGGAGGGAUGAGGAGGUGGUGCCAAAGAAGGGGUAUAGCAACUCGACCUUCUACGCGAAAGGGUGGUGGAGAUAGGGCGGCAGCUGGGCGGGGCCUCUCAUUCCAACCGCCAUCGCUUCCUCAUUCCAUCUCUUCUCCCCUUUUUUUUCGUCCAGAUAUACUAAAAG